rnacentral:rRNA from 1 species
GACGAACGCUGGCGGCGUGCUUAACACAUGCAAGUCGAACGGAAAGGCCCUGCUUUUGUUGGGUGCUCGAGUGGCGAACGGGUGAGUAACACGUGAGUAACCUGCCCUUUACUUGGGGAUAACUUCAGGAAACGGGGGCUAAUACCGGAUAGAAGCUCCUGCUGCAUGGUGUGUGUUGGAAAGUUUCGGUGGUUGGGGUUGGACUCGCGGCUUAUCCGCUUGUUGGUGGGGUAGUGGAUUAGGCAGGCUUUGACGGGUAGCCAGCCUGAGAGGGUGACCGGCCACAUUGGGCCUCAGGUAGCGCCCAGACUCCUACGGGAGGCAGCAGUGGAAGAUAUAGCACGAUGCGCGGAGGCAUGGUGCAGCGACGCCGCGUCGGGGAUGACGGCCUUCGGGUUGUAACCAGCUUUAGCCUGUAAAGAAGAGUGAGUGACGGUAAUGGGUAAAGAAGCGCCGGCUAACUACGUG